rnacentral:rRNA from 1 species
GACGGGGCCCGCACAAGCGGUGGAUUAUGUGGAUUAAUUCGAUGCAACGCGAAAACCUUACCUGGCCUUGACAUGUAGCGAACUUUCCAGAGAUGGAUUGGUGCUCGAAAGAGAACGCUAACACAGGUGCCGCAUGGCUGUCGUCAGCUCGUGUCGUGAGAUGUUCGGUUAAGUCCGCUAACGAGCGCAACCCUCGCUGUGUGUUAUAUGUGUCACACAGGACUGCUGGUAUUAAGCCGGAGGAAGGUGGGACACGUCAAGUCAGCAUGACCUUUAUAUCCAGGGCUACACACACGCUACAAUGGUCAGUACAAUGGGUUGCCAAGCCGCGAGGCGGAGCCAAUCCUAAAAAGCUGGCCUCAGUUCAGAUUGCAGUCUGAAACUCGACUGCAUGAAGUCGGAGUUGCUAGUAAACGCAGGUCAGCUAUACUGCGUUGAAUACGUUCCCGGGGCUU